GGUAUUGUGAGUCAUUUUAAAUCAUCCUUAAAUAGGAGAGGAAAUAAACCACAGAUUUUUCUUUUUUUGUCUCGCCUUUUGUGUAGUAAACAGCAGAGCAAAUGUUCUUCUAACCUAAAUGGGAAUGUAAAAGGAGUGCUGUAUCAUAGCAACAGCCAGAGGGCUGCAUUCACAGAAAAAUGUGCUGUUACAAAAUGUGCCUUGCAAAGACACUGCUGGCCAGGGAAUUCACUCUGUAGCACCAUGGGAGGAGAGCACCAUGUACACCAGGAGAGGAAGAAAUCCUUGAAGUCAGAACUCUCUCUGGCACUAAAAACUAGUGCAGAGUACAACAGGCAACAAUUUCCCUGAGCUGGUUUCUGGACAUACCUGAAGGUGUUACCCCUCCUUGGAAACAGCUUCUCUGCACUGUAACAUUACUUCUUUUGGAAAAAUAGGGGCAACUACAGAGGAAAUAAACACAAACAGCCAGUGUGUUCUAUGUUUAUUUUCUAUUUAUUAUUUUGUUGUGGGCAAAAUGUUUGGGAGGAUAAACUCAUCAUCAUAUUUUUGCUCUGUUAAAUUGGCCGAUUCUUGGUGCUGUUCACAACAGCCUCAACAGAUUCCAGGGAGACGAAAGGGCUGGUGGGCUACAUUCUGCCUUUUUUCCACAUGGGAAUUUGGGAAUGAGGUGGGGUUUUAUAGCUGAUGACCUCACCUAUAUACCAGCAGAAUGAUCAUAUGUGUUGUUUAACCAAGGGCCAUUAGCUAUUGCUUGGGAAUGUUUUAAAUAUUAAUAUCCUGGACACCAUUGCUGUGUGGGUUUUCUUGAAACUCACCUUUCUACAUGAAGAAUAAUAUAUAAAGGAGUCAAAUUAAAUAAUUUGGCUAUGCUACAGCUAAACAGUGUGUGUUGUACAAGGGAAGCCCCCUGUAUUGUUAUGUACUUUGACGAUUGCAUUUCCUUUUAAUCUGUUCUCUUAAAACUCCUACAAUCACUACACCAAUUUGGUUUCAGGGUCACAGCUCAGUCCUAUAGGUCAAAAGAGAGAGUCCAAGGAAUGAUGAUUUAUAAAGCUGCAAAUUCAUUUGAAUGUUUACCAAAAGAUACUUUGUAGUCUUUGCCCUUGCUGUUUUCCUGCUUCAGAUUCUGUUUUAGGGUACAAUCCAACCUGAAUGCAUUAACGUCAGACUAUUUUUUCCCACUUUUCUCACCUUUUCAAAUUUUGAGCAGACUCCACUCCAGAAAUGAGCAGCCCAACAGUAUAUCUUACUAAUAUCAGAAAAGGCAAUGCCUGAAGCGGUUGCAAAGAUCGAUGAGGGAGCUUUGGAGAGAUGACUGACAUAAACAUUUCAGCUAUGGAAAGGAAUGAAGCUAUUGAAGCAGGAAAAAAAUCAGACUAAGGAACCAGAGACCUCUAAAACAAAAAGUUUGGCUCCAUUUCUAUUGAAGAUACAUUAAAAUAAUCACGAUUUUUCUGUAGGCUACAAAGAAGGCUUAGGUUUCAGUUUGUUACUUUGUUAAUAAAAGUCACUUCUCCACCUAUAAAUAAUCAAAUGUUUUAAGAAAGGUGAAAUAUUUUGCAAUAUUUUGGUGCUCUCUUGAGGCAUUCUCACAUCCUCUAUGUGUAGACUGAUUUUCCCCUCCUUUAUUCUACCCAUCACCUGAUACUUUUAUCCAUUGGAUGGAUUAGAGAUUAUGUUGCUGUGAUGGUUAAUCACUUGUGAAGGAUAAAAAUAUCACAGUGGAGCUGGAUGAGUUAAAUUUAACGGGUGUGUAGCUGACAGGCAUGUACAGGAUAAGCACUUUUAUUACGUACUUCUCAGCGCCACUCAGUUCACAGUGUGCUCCACAAACAUUGGCAAGGAAAUAUGUCAUGUGCCAGGGAAUGAGUAAGAGAUUUGUGUGAAAUAUGGAUGCCAAGAAUGUCUAAUUAUAGCUCAUGAAAGACCAAACAAUAACCAAUAACAAAACCCAACAGAAUAAUUCCCUCAAACCAAAGGUGGAUUAAUGAUUUUUGCAGACAACUGACAAUACUAAUAGUCACCGAAAUUCCUACGUGGUCAAGAAUCCAUGGGUAAAGAAGUGGCCUAGAUCUGUGGAAAAGAGGUUCUUGUCAUGACAGAAUGCAGGAUGAAAUCAUCUUUCCUUGUCCAAAAGGCACUCCAGCAUCUUAAAUAGAAAACUAUGUGUUAAGCUAUGUUGGAAUCAGGGAAGGAGCAGCUUUUUCCCAACUAGAAAAAAUCAAUCUGACUUGUACUUCCAACAUUCAAAAUAAGGCAGCAGAUGGAGUUGCUAGGAGACAGAAGGCAAAGAACAAGAGCAUGAAUGUGCUCUAGUGUCUCUACACAAUAGCAAAGAGUAUAUGAAAUGAGCUGGAGCUUUAGAUCUCACCAUCAGCUAUGACUGUUACAAGU